UAAUUUUAAACCCACAAUUAGCGUAGCUUGAAUCCUGGCCCAGUUCCAGGCUAAUUCAUUAUAUCCUUCCAAACUGAGCUCCCCUGCUGACUUUACUCGAAAGCAGGAGGCUGGGCCCUCCACCCACCGAUGCCUUUUUGUUAUUCUGCUGUGGGUGUAGGAAAUGGGGUGGCAGGGAGCUGCUGCAGGGUUCCUGCAUGUCCUCUGUCGAGGAGGUGUAGCUGACACGGCCACAGCCCGCCUGCUCUUCUGCCAUGAAAGCAGCAUAGGUGGCAAAAACCCUCAGGAAGCUCUUGGUGCCAUUGGAAGAUGUCAAGUGUGUUGGCCAGGCAGGGAAGGGGCUUGCGGUCUGGCUGCACACUGGGUAUCACGGGAUCAUCUGGGUUGGAAAAGAUCUUCAAGAUACCAAGUCCAUCCAUCAGCCUCGCCAACUGAGUGCCAUCGCUAAACCACGUCCUUUAGUGCUGUGGCCUCUCUCUGAUAUCGCAAGGGUGCAGGUAUCGAGCGAGGUGCCAUCUCUGCGCGUAAACUAACGAGGACGGCUACAUAAAACAGAGCCACGGGGGAUCUGUGCAACAAAUAAUAAAAGCGUGGCUCGCUCUACUGCCAUCAAACUCUCCUCUGGUAACAAAAAGAGCAGAGCAGCUACAGAUGCUUGCUCUGGGAGUGAUCCUGACAUACAUUUCCCCGGAUGAUUCAGAGCCGCUGCUAGUAAUAAUUUGCGUUGGUUUGCUUGCUGCAUCAUUUUGCAGGUUUGUGUGUGUGUACAUGUGCUGCUUGUUAUGGGCUUUGAGCAAGAAUGUGAGUCCACCCAUUGUUUUCUUCUUAUGAAAUAUUUUUUUAAGAGAUUGUGCAUUUUGAAAUGCAGCAAGAUACUAUUUUUCCCCUCUUUGUUUCUUCGAGGAAUGAUAAAGCAGACCAUAGAUUUGUCUUCUGCAACUCUGACAUGAAAAGGAGAUGUGGUGACUUAAGUAAAACAAGUUUUGAACCAAAUGUUCUCAAAAUUCAAAGGCUUAAGUCACCCUGAAAUAAGAAAUGGAGGAAACCCAUUUUAGGGCAAGUUGUCAGUAUCCGAGCCAUAUUUCCUUCUGUCCAAAUGAUUCUCUGUGGGGUGGCUCCUCAGGGAAGGAGGGCUCACUGUGAGUCCACUGUCUGCUCACAGACCUAAAAAACAUCAGCAGGACUCACAGCUCACUCAGCGAUCCCAUGAAAACAUUUUUACAGACAAACGUGCUUCUCUUACAUUCUAUGAAUUUUGUUAAAAUCUUGAGGGUUUUGUGUAUUUUUUUUUUUUUUAAUGUGAAGUACUGAUUUGCUCUGCACUUUUGGACGUCUCUGUCUACCUCCAAAAAGAAGGGAAUGAAAUUGUUAAGUAAUGGUUUUCACGUCCGGGGGAGCUGGCUCCACUCCUGUGUUUCCGGCUGCUGAACGCUUUCUGCUAUGAGAUUCCUGUGGGUUUUUGUGAAGAGCUCUCGCACCUUCUCCUGCACAGCCCUCACCACUCAGCAAGCAGAAGGGCUGGAUGCUGGGCAGCCACCUUCAUCCCCCUGCCAGGGAGACCUGCUCCUGUCUGGCCAAAGCUGUGAAGGGUUUUGAACCACGGGCUUGAACUCCUCGGGAAAACUUCAGCUACACCCAGAGCAGCAGCUGAACGCAAGCAUCUCAUGCCCAGACUGGGCUUACUGUGGGAAUGACUGGAUGCUGCCAGGGAAAACGGCGGGAGGUGAGGGUGGCCAAGCUAAACAACUGCUGUCUGGGCCCAUGUCGUCCUCUCCUUCCUCCUCCUCCUCCUCCUCGGGAGGACGGCAGGGAGCAGCAGCCCUCCGAUGCGUGGCCAGGGUGGGGACACCCUGCUCAUCUCCCCCAUAGCUGUGGGGUCAGGGACCCCCCUAUGCCUGGGGUUGAGCCUUGGGGCUUUGACUCACCCCCACGAGGACUGAUGCUCGAGUGCUCCUGGCUGCGUGUGCUAGGAAGUGCUUGAGUUGUGGGAAUUUGCAUACAAAAAGCCCAAUGAGCCCUGAUCGAGCGAUAUCUAGGUUGCGGUAUUAAGCAGCCAGCAGCAGACAGUCAAGCUGCGAGUUGAACAUUUCCCUUCUAAAACUGAAACAUUUGGUGGUGUCAUAGGAAUUUCUUAGUAACCUGCUCACACUACUUUUACAGCUUUGCUUGUUGGGUUUCCACCAGCACACUAAAACUGAAUUUCUAUAAUGGCAGGAAGUUUAAUUUCAUACUUUUUUUUAACAUAUAUUUUUACAUACAGUAUUGAGCAGUAUUUACAGAUGCAUUAACUCACCAUUGCCACAUGAAAUUAGUGUGGUUUAUGCUAC